GAAAUGUAAAAAAAAAAAGUUUUAGAAUGUAUGAUCUGUAAGAGCGAUCAGCACAUCAUUUUAGUUCUUGUUUUGCAGUGUUUUCAUCAAAUCAUUUGUAUAUUCUGUUUUGUAAAAGGUGGUAGGUAGUCUUGUAGUUUUUAUAUAAAAAGUCAAUACAACCCCAUAUUAAGUUUAUUUACAAGUUUUUUGAUAACAUAGGUGGUGUUUCUUAAUUUUUAGAUAUAUGAGAGUUCCCAUUCUCUUUGUUAUAAGAAGAGCCCUUAAUUAGUAAGGCAUUAAUCAUUUGAUGCACCAUUAAUUUUUUUUUUGUUAUAAAAGAGCUCUUAAUUGGUUUAUUUUUCUAUAGACUUGCUCUUAGUUAAUUGUUUACGGUUCAUAUUAUGUGCUUUAGAAAAAUCUAUUAACAGAUAUUUGAUUCCUACAAAAAGCCACCCAGACCGAAAUUUGCAUAGGCAAUAGCAGGUUCGUGUUCCCUGAUUCUUUCUUGCUAUAGUUAAAUGCACUUUCUUACUUUCUAUCCAUUUCUUUUAUGUCAAAAAGAUAUUUGAUUAUUUUUGUUUUUGGUGAUAGCAAGAUUGGUGUUUUAUAGUUUUUUGAGAGUUCCAUAAUUAAUAGUUAACUUUUUUCAAAGCCUAGUUGCCCUCUGCCAAUCAUCAACCAUUAGGGUGUCAUUGGUCUUGCUAGGUUAGUAAUAAUAUGUUUAAGAUAAUAGUUAGACACUAUGCUUCUUUUUCCAUUUGCAUUUUCUUGUGUAGCUUUGUCUCUACGGUGGUUGCGCUUUGUUUGUGUUCUUAUGUGGCUUUUUUUGUAGGGAUUUGCUUUGUUCAUAUGUAGAGUUAUUGUGUGGCUUUGUUUGCAAAGUUUUGCUUUAUUUGUAUAGGUCUUGUGUAGAUAUCAUUUGUUGGGUUUGUUUGUAGAGUUGUAAGGUUUUGUUUUGGUUAUGUGGCUUUGUUUCUAGGGUUCUACUUAAUUUCUUGUGGCUUUGUGUGAAUGAUUCUGCCUUGAGAUUCAUGUCUUGGUUUAGUUUGUAGGGUUUUACUUUUGAAUUUGUGUCUUUUUUUUUGGUUGGAAUUUUGUUUUUUUUUGGGUAGAGUAAAUGUGUGGCUUUGUUUGUAGGGUUCUACUGUGUUACUAGAGUAGCUUUGCUUAAAAGGUUCUACUUUUUUUUUUGUAGAGAGUUCUUGUGUGGCUUGUUUAUAGGGUUACUUUAUUUGUUUCUUGUGUGGAUUACUUGUUUUGAUUGAUGUAUUUAUCUGUUAUGUUUUGUAAAUAUAUUUAGUUUAAUUGUUUCAAAUAUCUUUUAUGAGUUAAUUAUCUGAUUCUGAUUCGAUUUUAAUUAAGUUUUAUGUUCAUAAACUCUCCUGUGUCAAGGAAAUAAGUUAUGGUUUUCUUUGUUUUGAAUUUUACUUUUGGUGACAAGUGUUCUUUCCAACACUUGAUUUUUUAUUACUUACUCGUGUUGUUGUUUAUUACUUAGGGAUAUUUAGUUUCUGUCUUUGAAUUUAUGUAACAUUUAUUUAUUUGCCUCAUUUUAGUUGGAAAUGUAAGUGUAAUUCUUACUGGAUCCUUAAAAGAGUUUUAGAAUAUAUAUGAUCUUUAACAGCAAUCAACACAUCAUUUUAGCUCUUGUUUUGCAGUGUUUUCAUCAAAUCAUUUAUUUGUAUAUGGUGUGUUUUAUGCAUGUUGUCUUGUAGUUUUUAUAUUAAAACCCGAUACAACUUUUUCUUGGUCAGACUUGACUUUUCACAACUGAAAAUAUCUUCUUGUUUACAUUUUCAUGUCCAAUUGCAGUUUUAUCUUUAGGUAGGGUUGCUAGGGUUUUUUUUAUGUUGGCUAUUUAUUUAAUCGACAAUGCUGUGAAAUAUUUACUAAUAUGUCUUUAAGUUUUAUUUAUGUUUUAAGCUAAAGGUAAGAAGAAAUUCCAGGAAGAUUUCCAACCCCAUAUUCUUUGAUGGAUUCAAUGUUUGUUCGUGUUUGAAUUCCUCCAAUGUGUAUUGAUAAUCUGUCAUAGUUCAUAAUUGGUGUUGUGUGUUUAUGGUUCUCAUAUGUUUGUAAUUCAAUAACGUUAUAUCUGAUUGGGAUGUUUGAUAUGUUAUUGCCGAUAAUUUUCUUUCUUGAAUCUGUUGAAAGCUUUCCCAAUUUAGUAUUGUUAUUUCUUAUUUUUAUGGUUUCUGCCUUUGUCCAUGAGCAUUUAUUAGUUACUAAUGCUUAUUUGAUUUCAGAUAUAUUAUUGUUGGCUAAUACAACUAUUGUGUCUUGGUUAGAAGCCUGAUCAUAGUGUUAUUUUCUACUACUUUUAGUUGUUUAAUUUCACCUGUAUAUAGAGUUUUUUUUUUCCAAUGUAGUUUUACUUUAAAAUAUCCCUUAAUUGGUAAGUCAUUAAUCAUUUUAUGCACCAUCAGUGUUUUUUGUAGAGACUUCGCUUUUAGUUAAUUGUUUAUGGUUAAUAAUAUUUGUUUUAGAAAAAUCUAGUAAUAUGUUCAAAAAGCCACCGACAAAAAUUUGCAUAAGCUAUUGCACAGUCAUGUUCCCUGAUUCUUUCUUGCUUUAGUUAAACACACUUUCUUACUUUCUAUCCAUUUCUUUAAUGCCCUAAACAUAUUUUGUGUUGAUUACAAGUUUUGUUUCUUUUUUUUGGGCGAUAGCAAGAUUGGUUUUUUAUAGUUUUGGUCAUGCUUGAGAGUUCCAUAAAUAGUUACUUUUGUUCAAACCCUAGUUGCCCUCCGCCAAUCAUCAACCAUUAAGGUGUCAUUACUCUUCCUAGGUUAUCAAUAUAUUUUACAUCUAAUUAAACACAAUUUGUUUGUACGCUUCGGAUUUGGAAUUCUUUGUCCAUUUGCAUUUUCUUGUGUAGCUUUGUUUCUAGGGUUGUUGCGCUUUGUUUGUGUUCUUUUGUGGCUUUAUUUGUAGGGAUUUGUUUUGUUUGUAGAGUUUUUGUAUGGUACUUGCUUUGUUUGCGAGGUUUUGCUUAAUUUGUAGAGUUCUUGUGUGGCUUUUUUUGUAGGGUUCUGCUUUGGAUAUUGUUUGUCAACUUGCAUUUUCUUGUGUAGCUUUAUUAGUAGAGGCCUUGUGUAGAUUUCUUUUGUAGGGUUUAUUUGUGGAGUUCUAUGGUUUUGUUUUUAUGGUUAUGUUUGUAGGGUUCUACUUUGGAAUUCUUCUCAUUUGUAUUUUCUUGUAUGGCUUUGUUUGUAGGGUUCUACUUUGUUUGGAGAGUUAUUGUGGCUUUGUUUAUAGGGUUUUGCUUUGUCUGCAAAGUUCUUAUGUGGCUUUGUUUUUACAAUUAUCUAUUUGUAUUUUAUUGUGAGGCUUUGUUUAUAGGGUUCUACUUUGUUUGUUUCUUGUGUGGCUUUCUUUGUAUGAUUCUACUUUUGAAUUUGUGUCCCUUUUCUUAUGUGGCUUUGUUUGCAGGGUUCUACUUUGUUAGUAGAGUAGCUUUGCCUAUAAGAUUCUACUUUUUUUUUUAAUAGACUUCUUGUGUGGCUUUGUUUGUAGGGUUGUACUUUAUUUGUUUCUUGUGUGGAUUAAUUUGUAGGAUCCUGCUUUGGAAUUCAUGUCUUGGUUCAGUUUGGAGGGAUCUAUUUUUGUGUUCGUGUUCUUAUGUGGCUUUGUUUGUAAGAUUCUGCAUUGGAAUUCAUGUCUUUGGUUCAAUUUGUAGGGUUCUAUUUUUGAAUUUGUGUCCCUUUUUUGUGUGACUUUGUUUGUAGGGUUCUAGUGUGGUCUUGUUUGUAGGAUUCUACUUUGGAAUUCAUGUCUUAGGUUUAGUUUAUAGGUUUCUAUGUUUGAAACUGUGUCUUUUUUUCUUGUAUGGCUUGUUUUGCUUUGUUUGUAGAGUUUUUAUUUAUUUGCAAAGUUAUUAUAUGCCUUGUUUAUACAUUUAUUUGUUUGUAUUUUGUUGUGUGGCUUUGUUUGUAGGGUUUUAUAUUGUUUGUAGGGUUCUACGUUGUUCGUGGAGUACUUUUGUUUAUAAGGUUUUACUUUGUAGAUAGUACUUUUGUGGCUUUAUUUGUAGGGUUCUAUUUUGUUUGGUUCUUGUGUGGCUUUGUUUGUAGGAUUUUGCUUUAGUAUUUGUGUCCUGAUUCAGUUUGUAGGAUUUUACUUUGAAGUUCUUGUGUGAUUUUGCUUUCUUUGUUUCACGUGUGGCUUUGUUUGUAAGAUUUUGCUUUGGAAUUCAUGUGUUGAGUUCAGUUUGUAGGGUUCUACUUAUGAAUCCAUGCCUCGUUUCUUGUGUGGCUUUGUUUAGUGGGAUUGCCUUGUUUGUACGAUUCUUGUGUCUUUUAUUUGUAGGCUAGUGCUUGGUUUGUAGAGAUGUUAUGUGAGCUCUGUUUAUAGGAUUUUUCUUGGAGGUCUUGUCUAGAGUUAUGUUUGAAGGAAUCCACUUUGGGGAUUCUUAUCCAUUUGCAUUGUCUUAUGUGGCUUUGUUUGUAGGGAUUUACUUUUUAUGUAGAGUUAUUGGGGUUCUUAUCCAUUUGCAUUUUAUUUAUUUUGUAAAGUUCUUAUUUGGCUUUAUUUAUAGGUUCUGUUUGUUUUUAGAGUUCUUGGUGGCUUUGUUUGUUGGAUUUUUCUUUUGGAUUGUUUUAAUGGGUUCUCUUUGUUGUAGGGCUUUAUUUUAGAAGUAUUUCCCAUUUUCAUUUUCUUAUAUGGCUUCAUUUUCUUAUCUUGCGUUAGAAUUCUUUUCUUGGGUUAAGUUUGUGGGGCUAUGCUUUAGAUUUCUUCUCUAACUGCAUUUACUUGUGUGACUUUGUUUGUAGAGAUCUUUUCCAUUUAUUUUCUUUCCACUCUUAAGGUUUUGUGUUGAUCCUUUGUUCAUUUUCAUUUUCUUGUCCGACUUUGUUUGUGAAUUCUUUGUCUUGGGUUCUAUUUGUGAAGAAUUUAAACAUAACCCUACAAAUAAAGUCAAACAAGAAAAAGCAAAUCAACAAGACCUAGUGUUAGUCUCGAGUCCGAGACAUUUAAUAAAUGAUGUGACAUGUUAAUCUUUGAGCUAAUAAAAAUUGUCAUUUUUUUGAGAUCCCUCCACCAUACGUGUGAGGGAACAACAACCAUCUGCUAUUUUUGCAGAUUAUCGAUCCCGGGCCUCCUCUUCCUGGGUCACUGAUACUGGAUCUAGUCAUCAUGUUGCAUCCGAUCUCUCGAGCUUUGAUCACUCCGAGGCAUACCAUGGCCAUGACAACUUAUAUGUUGGCAACGGACGAGAAUACUCACACUAUCAUCCUCAUGGUCCAAAUAGUGGCGGCCUUUACUCCUUUCACCUUCCGCAGUUGCAGUCUACCUCGUCUAAAGUUGCUUUCUUCGCUACCCAUGCUUCUUCCGUCACUUGGCAUCAACGACUUGGACAUCCCCAUCCGCAACUGUUGAAGUCAAUGAUUUCAUGAUAUAGUUUACCUUUAUCAAACAAUUUUGUUAGUUCACCUUGUGAUUCUUGUUCUAUUGGAAAAUCUUCAAAACUUCAUCUAUCAUCUUCUAAUUAUAAAAGUUCUCAUA